UACGUAGGGUGCGAGCGUUGUCCGGAAUUAUUGGGCGUAAAGGGCUCGUAGGCGGUUUGUCGCGUCUGCCGUGAAAGUCCGGGGCUCAACUCCGGAUCUGCGGUGGGUACGGGCAGACUAGAGUGAUGUAGGGGAGACUGGAAUUCCUGGUGUAGCAGUGAAAUGCGUAGAUAUCAGGAGGAAUACCGAUGGCGAAGGCAGGUCUCUGGGCUGACACUGACGCUCAUGCACGAAAGCGUGGGGAGCAAACAGG
rnacentral:rRNA from 1 species